rnacentral:rRNA from 1 species
CUUGAAUACAUUAGCAUGGAAUAAUGAAUAGGACGUUCGUAUCUUAUUUUGUUGGUUUUCUUAAGAUUGACGUAAUGAUUAAUAGGGAUAUUGGGGGCAUUAGUAUUCAAUUGUCAGAGGUGAAAUUCUUGGAUUUAUUGAAGACUAACUACUGCGAAAGCAUUUGCCAAGGAUGUUUUCAUUAAUCAAGAACGAAAGUUAGGGGAUCGAAGACGAUCAGAUACCGUCGUAGUCUUAACCAUAAACUAUGCCGACUAGGGAUCGGAUGAUGUUAAUUUUUUAAUGACUCAUUCGGCGCCUUACG